AUCAUUAUUGAAAUAAACCUGAUGGGUUGUUGCUGGUUCUCUAGGGAGCAUGUGCACACCUUGUCAUCUUUAUAUCUCCACCUGUGCACUUUUUGUAGACCUUUUCAGGUCUAUGUUGCCUCAUUUUACCCCAAUGUAUGUCAAUAGAAUGUUGUGCCUAUAUAUAAUAUAUACAACUUUCAGCAACGGAUCUCUUGGCUCUCGCAUCGAUGAAGAACGCAGCGAAAUGCGAUAAGUAAUGUGAAUUGCAGAAUUCAGUGAAUCAUCGAAUCUUUGAACGCACCUUGCGCUCCUUGGUAUUCCGAGGAGCAUGCCUGUUUGAGUGUCAUUAAUAUAAUCAACCUUCUCUUGUUUUGAGAAUGGUUUGGAUGUGGGGGGUUUGCUGGCCUCUCUCAAAAGGUUCAGCUCCCCUGAAAUGCAUUAACAGAACAACCUUUGCUCAUUGGUGUGAUAACUAUCUACGCUUAUGAAUAUGAGGGGCAGUUCAGCUUUCUAACGGUCUUUGGACAAUUCAUCAUUAAUGUGACCUCAAAUCAGGUAGGACUACCCGCUGAACUUAAGCAUAUCAAUA
rnacentral:rRNA from 1 species